AUUACUUCUCAGCCUUUUGGCUAAGACCAACUGUAGUAUCUGUUCUUUUCAGUUUAAUAUCUGAUGUGAUCUCUAGAGAACUAUAUCUUAAAUGGGUCCUGUGAUAGCAACAUCAGCCCUUGAGUAAGCAAACAUACAUAGCCUAGAAAGUUCUCUAAGAAAUAUCCUUA
rnacentral:snRNA from 11 species